AAACCAGCACCUCAAGUGGUCAGGAGGAUUAUUGGGCCUAAAGCAUCCGUAGCCUGUUCUAUAAGUUUCCGGUUAAAUCCACUAGCUCAACUAGUGGGCUGCCGAAAAUACUGUAGAACUCGGGAGUGGGAGAGGUAGACGGUAUUCGGUAGGAAGGGGUAAAAUCCUUUGAUCUAUUGAUGACCACCAGUGGCGAAGGCGGUCUACCAGAACACGUUCGACGGUGAGGGAUGAAAGCUGGGGGAGCAAACCGGAUUAGAAACCCUAGUAGUCC
rnacentral:rRNA from 1 species